GUCCUACUCAGUUUAGCAGCACACGUACUAAAAUUGGAACGAUACAGAGAAGAUUAGCAUGGCCCCUGCGCAAGGAUGACAUUCAAAAAUGCUAUUCUAUUUU